rnacentral:tmRNA from 1 species
CCCCUUUCAUUUCAGGUGAAAAGCCCUUAUAUCAAGCGUGCUGGGCAACCAGCUAUGGCAAUAAAUGGUCAGUGCAAUAAGCCUAUCGGACCCGGGGGCGGUACCCGGCGCCUCCACCCAAGCCCACGAAAUUUCCACCCGGAAAACUUGGGUUUCGGCGGGGGCGAAACAGGAUCGACGAGGGUGUAAAGACUGUGCUUUUGCUCGGCAUUGUACCACCGUUAUCGGGCUUACUUAAUAGUUGCAAAUGACAACUAUGCUAUGGACAACGCUGUCGCUGCGUAACGCAGUGCCAGUCGUCCUUUAAAGCCCUGUUGGGUUAGCUCCUACAGGCGGGGUUCGGAGGCACCUGGCAACAGAAGCCUCCACU